rnacentral:rRNA from 1 species
UACGUAGGGGGCAAGCGUUGUCCGGAUUUAUUGGGCGUAAAGCGCGUGUAGGUGGCCAAGUAGGUCCGCUGUGAAAACUUGAGGCUCAACCUCAAGCUGUCGGUGGAAACCCCUUGGCUAGAGUCCGGAAGAGGAGAGUGGAAUUCCUGGUGUAGCAGUGAAAUGCGUAGAGAUCAUGAGGAAGACCAGUGGCGAAGGCGGGUCUCUGGACAGUUCCUGACACUGAGACACGAAGGCCAGGGGAGCAAACGGG